rnacentral:tRNA from 1 species
GGAGCGGUAGACCCGUACGGCGCGGGGACGGAUUGUAGAUCCGUUGUCCUUAAGGACCCACCUGGUCCCAUUCCAGGACGCUCCACCA